CAUAUUUUUACAAAUAAAAUUUUGUAACCUUUAGGAACAAUUCUAAAAAAUCUAAAUAAUUAGUGUAGUGGACAAUACCAUAAUUUCAGCAUAGCUGUGAAACUAGAAGUACUAUGCAAAGCUCUCGACUAGUUUCAUUUUUGGCCAUUGCAUUGUCAGUUUAUUUUGGAUUUAUGAGUUUGACUGUCCCUUUGGUAUCUUUCAUCCCUCUUUCAGAC
rnacentral:lncRNA from 1 species